CGGCGUGGAUAAGACAUGCAAGUCGAACGCUAAUUUCAGGGUAGCAAUAUUCUGAGGUUGGAGUGGCGCAAGGGUGCGUAACACGUGGGUAAUUUGCCGCGAAGUUGGGGAUAACUCGCUGAAAGGCGAGCUAAUACCGAAUGUGAAAACCGGGAGGCAUCUUUUGGUUUUUAAAGUUGGGGACCGCAAGGCCUGACGCUUCACGAUAAGCCCGCGGCCUAUCAGCUAGUUGGUGAGGUAAUGGCUCACCAAGGCUAAGACGGGUAGCUGGUCUGAGAGGACGACCAGUCACACUGGAACUGAGACACGGUCCAGACACCUACGGGUGGCAGCAGUCGAGAAUUUUUCUCAAUGGGCGAAAGCCUGAAAAGGGGACGCCGCGUGGGGGAUGAAGGGCUUCGGCUCGUAAACGGCUGUCAUUUGCGAACAAACCCCGCGACUAAUCG
rnacentral:rRNA from 1 species